AACGUAGGACACAAGCGUUAUCCGGAGUUACUGGGCGUAAAGGGCGUGUAGGCGGACCUAUAAGUCUAUUCUGAAAGCUCCUGGCUAAACUGGGAGAGGCGAAUGGAGACUGUAGAUCUAGAGUGAGGAAGAGGAAAGUGGAAUUCCGCGUGUAGUGGUGAAAUGCGUAGAGAUGCGGAGGAACACCAGUGGCGAAGGCGGGUCUCUGGGCAGUAACUGACGCUGAGGGAGCG
rnacentral:rRNA from 1 species